ANUGCAGUCGAACGAUGAGCCGGAGCUUGCUCUGGUGGAUUAGUGGCGAACGGGUGAGUAACACGUGAGUAACCUGCCCUUGACUCUGGAAUAAGCGUUGGAAACGACGUCUAAUACCGGAUACGAGCUUCCGCCGCAUGGUGAGGAGCUGGAAAGAAUUUCGGUCAAGGAUGGACUCGCGGCCUAUCAGGUAGUUGGUGAGGUAAUGGCUCACCAAGCCUACGACGGGUAGCCGGCCUGAGAGGGUGACCGGCCACACUGGAACUGAGACACGGUCCANNCUCCUACGGGAGGCAGCAGUGGGGNAUAUUGCACAAUGGGCGCAAGCCUGAUGCAGCAACGCCGCGUGAGGGACGACGGCCUUCGGGUUGUAAACCUCUUUUAGUAGGGAAGAAGCGAAAGUGACGGUACCUGCAGAAAAAGCACCGGNUAACUACGUGCCAGCAGCCGCGGUAAUACGUAGGGUGCAAGCGUUAUCCGGAAUUAUUGGGCGUAAAGAGCUCGUAGGCGGUUUGUCGCGUCUGCUGUGAAAACUGGGGGCUCAACCCCCNNCCUGCAGUGGGUACGGGCAGACUAGAGUGCGGNAGGGGAGAUUGGAAUUCNUGGUGUAGCGGUGGAAUGCGCAGAUAUCAGGAGGAACACCGAUGGCGAAGGCAGAUCUCUGGGCCGUAACUGACNCUGAGGAGCGAAAGCAUGGGGAGCGAACAGGAUUAGAUACCCUGGUAGUCCAUGCCGUAAACGUUGGGAACUAGAUGUAGGGGCCAUUCCACGGUUUCUGUGUCGCANCUAACGCAUUAAGUUCCCCGCCUGGGGAGUACGGCCGCANGGCUAAAACUCAAAGGAAUUGACGGGGGCCCGCACAAGCGGCGGAGCNUGCGNAUUAAUUCUNAUGCNACGCGAAGAACCUUUACCNAGACUUGACUNUACGANAACGGGCUUANAAUUAGUUCACUCUUUGGANACUCGUAACAGGUGGUGCAUGGUUGUCGCNGCUUNUGUCGUGAGAUGUUGNNNUAAGUCCCNGCAACGAGCGCCAACCCUCCNUCUUUGCUGCCAGCACGUAAUGNNGGUAACUCCAAGNGNACUGCCCGNNNNCNACUCGNAGAAGGGUGGG
rnacentral:rRNA from 1 species